GAUAAACGCUGGCGGCGCACAUAAGACAUGCAAGUCGAACGGACUUAACCUAUAGUUUACUAUUGGAGCGGUUAGUGGCGGACUGGUGAGUAACGCGUAAGCAAUCUGCCUAUCAGAGGGGAAUAACAGUGAGAAAUGACUGCUAAUACCGCAUAAGCGCACAGCAUCGCAUGAUGCAGUGUGAAAAACUCCGGUGGUAUGAGAUGGACCCGCGUCUGAUUAGCUAGUUGGUGAGGUAAAGGCCCACCAAGGCGACGAUCAGUAGCCGACCUGAGAGGGUGAUCGGCCACAUUGGGACUGAGACACGGCCCAA
rnacentral:rRNA from 1 species